UUCCAGAGCUGGGUUGUCAUGGGGAGGAGACAGUGCAGACUGCUGCGGCCGGGGUGGCAGCAGCAAGAGCGCUGGGUUGGGAGUCUGUCAUGCAUUACCUGGACCUGUGGGACCAUAAGCACCCCGCAGAGGCCGCCUUAACUGCACAGGACUACAAUGAGACUGCGUGUGCGCUUCCUAAAACAACAACAAAACUGGAGUACAUGCCAGACUGAGUGGUUGGAAGAGAUGGGGUUAACCCGGGAGAGCUUCGCGGAGGAGGCUCGCUUUAUAAAGCAGGGAUGUGAUCACACCACCUCCCAGGGUUAUGAGGAUCAAAGGAGACAAUAAGGUAAAAGUGCUUUUGAAAAGAUACACAAGUGUGUUUGUUCAUUCAAUUUAACCAACAUUUACUGAGCAUCUACAAUAUUCCAGAAGCUAUGUUAAGAACUGGAGGAAAACUAAGACAAACAAGAAACAAGGAGCCCAGAAUUGCCAUUACUCUCUCUCCUAAUGCUUCUGUCUCUUUACCCCUCAUGUGUCUGUCUUGUUGUCUCAGGCUGUAUGAGGAAAGGCUGACUCUGAGUCCUGUCCAAUUCUCCAGCUAAGCAUUUCUGUCCCAGGGAAUUCUUGCUAUGGCCCAAACUCUGGACCUCCAUUGGACCAGCAGAGGGCUCCCUCUGCUAUUGCUCAUUCAGCAAAUCAUUCAUUCACUUAUUAUGAGCAGGCAUGGUUCCAGGUGUUGGGGACACAAUGGUGAACAAAUGGACAAGGUCCUGCCCUCAUGGAGUUCACUGUCUACUGGUGAAGGCAGACCUUAAACAAAUAAAUAUAUACUCACAAAUUAUGGUGAGGGUAUUUUGAGAUGGGGAGAGAGAAGUGGAACUCAAUUUAGAAGGACUCUCCAAGGAGGCAUGAAGCUGAGAGCCACAAAGGAUGAGAAGUCAGCCAUGCACGUAGCCUGGGGAGGAGUCCUCCACGCAGAGGAGGGGGAAGGGACACAGUGUCUUCAAAGAACUGACAGAAAAGUGGUGCAGUGGAGACCUGAUCAAGCAAGACAGGGUACUCAUGGAGCUGGAGGGAGAGGCAGGGGCCAGACCACACUGGGCCUGUAGACAGAGAAGGAGUUUGAGUAAGUACAGUGAACUUCCAGUGCCUUCUGCUUUCUUCCCAGUGCUGGUGAAGAAACGACUCGGGCUGUUCUACUAGUUCUGUCAUCCCACGACGGUGACAAAAAGCUGGAGGUUAGUUAGAGAAGAAACCAUCAAAAAAUUGCCAACUUUAUCAAUGUUAUGUGCCAGCCUGGAUGGGAGGGGGACUUGGGGGAGGA